UCUGUGCAUUAAACUCACGAUGACCGACACAAAAUCUAACAGUAACACCUCAAAACUGACCUGUAUUGUUGACCUGUUACGAUGUUUAAAGCUUAAAACAAUUUUAUCGAGGUAAUUAUUGAUAAAAUUUUCAUAAAAUCGAAGAAAACAGUGUACAGCAGCGUUGGCAUAGUCGUGAUACACGGUAUACAACUUCAUAUUCGUGAUAUUCUGCAAAAGACAUCAAUUUAUCACCCAAAAGUCACAGAGAAGUUACAAAAAUAAACCAGAAUACUUACUUAUGGAAG